GGGGGUUGCCGAGUCAGGUCAAAGGCGUUGGAUUUAGGGUCCAAUCCCGAAGGGGUCCGAGGGUUCGAAUCCCUCCCCCC
rnacentral:tRNA from 1 species